rnacentral:rRNA from 1 species
AUGGCGACGGCGGUGCAGUGGCCGGUGAUGGUGGUGGUGGUGAUGAUGGGGGCGGUGAUGGCGGCGCGCGUGGGGGCGGACAUGGACGCGGACCGGAGCGAGUGCGCGGAGCAGCUGGUGGGGUUGGCGCCGUGCCUGCAGUACGUGCAGGGGCAGGCGCGGUCGCCGGCGCCGGACUGCUGCGGCGGGCUGAGCCAGGUGCUGGACAAGAGCCCCAAGUGCCUGUGCGUGCUGGUCAAGGACAAGGACGACCCCAACCUGGGCAUCAAGAUCAACGCCUCCCUCGCGCUCGCCCUCCCCUCCGCCUGCCGCAACACCAAGGCCAACGUCUCCCACUGCCCAGAGCUGCUGCACCUCCCUCCGAACUCCAAGGACGCCGCCAUCUUCAGCCCCGGCGGCGACAAGGGCUCCGCUGCAGCUCUAGCCAAGGACAACACGGCGUCGACGGCCAACUCCCGCGCGCAGCAGGCGGCCAGCGCCGGCACCGCCUCCUCGACGGCGACCGCCGGCGUCGCACUGGCGGCGUUGCUCGCCGGCUACCUUGCGCUGCUCCUGCCCGCUGACUUCCUGGCCGCCGCCUCCUCCUUCUAG